rnacentral:tRNA from 1 species
UUAGAUUUAGUGUAAAGCAUAUUGUCUUUGGAAGAUAAAGGAAAUUCUAAA